rnacentral:rRNA from 1 species
CAGUCGCCACGGUAAUACAGAGGGUGCGAGCGUUAAUCGGAUUUACUGGGCGUAAAGCGUGCGUAGGCGGCUUUUUAAGUCGGAUGUGAAAUCCCUGAGCUUAACUUAGGAAUUGCAUUCGAUACUGGGAAGCUAGAGUAUGGGAGAGGAUGGUAGAAUUCCAGGUGUAGCGGUGAAAUGCGUAGAGAUCUGGAGGAAUACCGAUGGCUAAGGCAGCCAUCUGGCCUAAUACUGACGCUGAGGUACGAAAGCAUGGGGAGCAAACAGGAUUAGAUACCCCUGUAGUCCCUGUCUCUUAUAC